GAUUGACCUCGGAUCAGGUAGGGAUACCCGCUGAACUUAAGCAUAUCAAUAAGCGGAGGAAAAGAAACCAACCGGGAUUGCCUCAGUAACGGCGAGUGAAGCGGCAAGAGCUCAAAUUUGAAAGCUGGCCCCUCCGGGGUCCGCGUUGUAAUUUGCAGAGGAUGCUUUGGGUGCGGCCCCCGUCUAAGUGCCCUGGAACGGGCCGUCAGAGAGGGUGAGAAUCCCGUCUUGGGCGGGGUGUCCGUGCCCGUGUAAAGCUCCUUCGACGAGUCGAGUUGUUUGGGAAUGCAGCUCUAAAUGGGUGGUAAAUUUCAUCUAAAGCUAAAUACUGGCCGGAGACCGAUAGCGACAAGUAGAGUGAUCGAAAGAUGAAAAGCACUUUGAAAAGAGAGUUAAACAGCACGUGAAAUUGUUGAAAGGGAAGCGCUUGCGACCAGACUCGCCCUCGGGGUUCAGCCGGCACUCGUGCCGGUGUACUUCCCCGGGGGCGGGCCAGCGUCAGCUUGGGCGGCCGGUCAAAGGCCUCCGGAAUGUAGUGCCCCCCGGGGCACCUUAUAGCCGGAGGUGCAAUGCGGCCAGCCUGGGCUGAGGAACGCGCUUCGGCACGGACGCUGGCAUAAUGGUCGCAAACGACC
rnacentral:rRNA from 1 species